rnacentral:rRNA from 1 species
AACGAACGCUGGCGGCAGGCUUAACACAUGCAAGUCGAACGCACCUUUCGGGGUGAGUGGCCGACGGGUGGGUAACGCGUGGGAAUCUACCCUUCUCUACGGGAUAGCUCCGGGAAACUGGAAUUAAUACCGUAUACGUCCUGAGGGAGAAAGAUUUAUCGGGGAAGGAUGAGCCCGCGUUGGAUUAGCUAGUUGGUGGGGUAAAGGCCUACCAAGGCGACGAUCCAUAGCUGGUCUAAGAGGAUGAUCAGCCACAUUGGGACUGAGACACGGCCCAAACUCCUACGGGAGGCAGCAGUGGGGAAUAUUGGACAAUGGGCGCAAGCCUGAUCCAGCCAUGCCGCGUGAGUGAUGAAGGCCCUAGGGUUGUAAAGCUCUUUCAGUGGGGACGAUAAUGACGGUACCCACAGAAGAAGCCCCGGCUAACUUCGUG